rnacentral:rRNA from 1 species
AUUGAACGCUGGCGGCAUGCUUUACACAUGCAAGUCGAACGGUAACAGGCCUUCGGGUGCUGACGAGUGGCGAACGGGUGAGUAAUGCAUCGGAACGUACCGUGUAAUGGGGGAUAACGUAGCGAAAGUUACGCUAAUGCCGCAUACGCCCUGAGGGGGAAAGCGGGGGAUCGUAAGACCUCGCGUUAUAGGAGCGGCCGAUGUCGGCUUAGCUAGUUGGUGGGGUAAAGGCCUACCAAGGCGACGAUCCGUAGCGAGUCUGAGAGGAUGAUCCGCCACACUGGGACUGAGACACGGCCCAGACUCCUACGGGAGGCAGCAGUGGGGAAUUUUGGACAAUGGGGGCAACCCUGAUCCAGCCAUGCCGCGUGCGGGAAGAAGGCCUUCGGGUUGUAAACCGCUUUCGGACGGAAAGAAAUCGUCCUCUCUAACAUAGGGGAUGGAUGACGGUACCGUAAGAAGAAGCACCGGCUAACUACGUGCCAGCAGCCGCCGUAAAAC